UACAGAGGGUGCGAGCGUUAAUCGGAAUUACUGGGCGUAAAGGGUGCGUAGGUGGUCAGUUAAGUGAGAUGUGAAAGUCCUGGGCUUAACCUGGGAAAGUCAUUUCAUACUGGCUGACUAGAGUAGAGUAGAGGGAGGUGGAAUUUCCGGCGUAGCGGUGAAAUGCGUAGAUAUCGGAAGGAACACCAGUGGCGAAGGCGGCCUCCUGGACUCAUACUGACACUGAGGCACGAAAGCGUGGGGAGCAAACAGGAUUAGAUACCCUGGUAGUCCACGCUGUAAACUAUGAGAACUAGAUGUUGUGUGGGAUUUAAUCUCAUCAGUAUCGAAGCUAACGCGUUAAGUUCUCCGCCUGGGGAGUACGGUCGCAAGAUUA
rnacentral:rRNA from 1 species